rnacentral:rRNA from 1 species
AUUGAACGCUGGCGGCAGGCUUAACACAUGCAAGUCGAGCGGAGGAAGGUAGCUUGCUAGCGGACCUAGCGGCGGACGGGUGAGUAAUGCUUAGGAAUCUGCCUAUUAGUGGGGGACAACAUCUCGAUAGGGAUGCUAAUACCGCAUACGUCCUACGGGAGACAGCAGGGGAUCUUUGGACCUUGCGCUAAUAGAUGAGCCUAAGUCGGAUUAGCUAGUUGGUGUGGUAAAGGCCUACCAAGGCGACGAUCUGUAGCGGGUGUGGGAGGAUGGACCGCCAACCUGGGACUGAGAACCGGGCCAGACUCCUGAGGGAGGCAAGCGUGGGGAAUAUUGGAAAAUGGGGCGAACCCUGAUCCAGCCAAGCCGCGUGUGUGGAGAAAGCCUUAUGGUUGUAAAGCACUUUAAGCGAGGACGAAGAUACUUUAGUUAAUCCCUAGAGAUAGUUGACGUUACUCGCAGAAUAAGCACCGGCUAACUACGUGCCAGCAGCCGCAGUAA